rnacentral:misc_RNA from 1 species
GUACACAUUACUGGAUUUAAAUUUUCCAAGGACUGCCUGGUCUAACUCUAUGCGUCUGUACAAAAAUAAAAGCUAUGUUCUGUUUCUAAAUUAGCAUUUAUUCUUGUGUAUAGUUGUGUGUGUUUUAUUUAUUUAUUUGGGUGGAUCACUCUAUUAUUUGUAGUCUGUUGAUAUUGAAAUUAUAAACUGUAAGUCUAUUUAUUUAUAUUUUUUGGAGUUUGGUAAGUAAGGCUUGCAUGCUAAAAGUAAAUGAUUCAAAGCAAAUCAAUGCUUGGGUAUGUUCAUGUUGGAA